CAUACCAGAAAAGCCCCAACCAUGGUCAUUAAAUUGGACUUUAGCAAAGCCUUCGACUCCCUCUCUUGGGACUCUCUUGCUUCCAUCUUUCGCUGCCACGGCUUCCCGCCAAAAUUCUCAGCAUGGGUUCAUGACCUCCUAGCAACCGGGAAAACUGCCGUGAUGCUGAAUGGGAUCCCCAGAAACUGGAUAAAUUGCAAAAAUGGGCUCAGACGCGGUGGCCCUAUCUCGCCCUACCUCUUCAUCAUCGUUGCUGAUCUCCUACAACAAAUGAUCCAACAAGACCGCGACCUAGCUCAUAUCAGUCACCCCCUGUUCUCGCAUCUCUCGCCAAACGUUUUACAAUAUGCCGACGACACCAUCAUCAUCGCCAAGGCAUCCAAUGACGCUGCUCAGCAGUUAAAAAACAUCCUUCACGAUUUCGCCAUGGCCACUGGCCUCACUAUCAACUUCGCAAAAACAACUUUCGUGCCCAUGCACGUCAACACUGCCAUGAUAGACUCCAUUGCCUCCACCUUGCAAUGCCUAACCUCAACUUUUCCACAGAUCUACCUAGGCCUCCCCCUAACACCCACACGACUACCUACAAAUGCCUUCCUACCGAUCAUCGAACGCUGCCGUAAAUUCUUGACGGGUUGGUGCGCAAAAAUCCUCUCCAAAGGGGAUAGGCUCAUCCUAUUAUCAGCUGUCCUCGACUCCCUUCUAGUCUACUUCAUGUCAGUCUUCCCCAUCCCCAAAAAUGUUCUAAAAACCCUAGACUCUAUUCGACGAGCUUUUUUUUGGGCUGCGGAGGAAACUUGCACUGGUGCUCAAUGCUUAGUUGCCUGA
rnacentral:rRNA from 1 species